GUGCAACAUUAGAGCUGUAUAAAGUGAACUGUCCCUGUUUCCAUCUGUUGAGUUGUCAUUGAUCAGGCAAGGAGAAAAAAGACUGACAAUGAUUAUUGAUAUGGAACUUUUUUUUAUUUGUUAGCAAAGUAAUUCAUGUUGACCCAUAUCACAAAAGGCAUAAGCAGUAACAACAACAACAAUAUAGAUAUCUCAAAUACAAUCUGUUUAGAAGAUUAAAUGCAAGAAAUGCAUGAAGACUGUGUUAAACUGACUUGAUCCACAGGUUUGCUUUAACAUGUUACAUGGUAUUUGUGUUGUUGUGCUAUCUUGUACUAAGCUAUGUAUUGCUACGCUAAUUUGACAGGUAUACUGAUCACCUGGCAUACAGAAAAUGAAACCCCUGAUCUCAUUGGUAUGCCAGGUACAAGGGGGUGCCAUUGUUGUCUGUAUUCAGAUUUUUUCCAAUGACAUGGAUGCCAGCCUUUUCAUAAGGACUCACUUCUUGUUGAAUGAUUACAGUGAUGGUCUGGAUGGCAUGGUCUGAACCCUUCUUGUACCAGGCAUUUAUCGGGGGGCCUCCUGUUCCUUCAUUGAGAUUAACACCAACACAGGUAUAACCCUGUAUCUGAAGGCUUUCCUCUUCCUCAUUGUUAGUGGAGACAUCCAGGAGAUUGAUGCUUUGGGACUGUGUUAGAGAAUGACGAUACCAAAGAAAGAUAGAGCGUUCUCCUGCAUCUCGAUUCACAUUUUCAUCCACACGGGUGUAGCCCUGGGAAAAAUACUCGUUAUCAAAUGCAAAAGAGGUAGUUGCCUUGAUGUCAGAGAUGUACAUUUUCUUCUCUUUCUUCACCCAAACAUGGAUCCAGUUGUCGUUAGCAUUGCGAUUCAGGUCACACGCCAGUCGUUCCCAGCCUUUCUGGUAAAUUUGGGCUUCAUCUGUUGCAUCUGUGGUGACCUUAAGUUCCACUAUAGGGUUGUCAUACUCAGUUGUACCUUUGUAGCACCAGAGAAAGAUGUUAUCUCCUCCAGCCCCUGCAUUGAGGUCUUUAUCCACCUUAUGGUAACCUGCGUUCCUCAAACCAAUUUGCAUUUCAUCUGUGAAUGUAACCUGCAAUCUGGUGAUGGGAUUGCUGCUUCCCUUCUUGUACCAGAGGUAAAUAUUAUUUCCUCCAGCACCUUUGUUCAGAUUAACAUUGAUUAUUUUGAAACUUUGGUUUCUUAGGCCUUGCUCCUGUUCAGGAUUAAUGGAAACAUCAAUAUCUGUGAUGUACGGCAUCCUGAUUUGGUGUCUGAAGAGGACUGUGUAGGUACCU
ensembl:lncRNA